CACGCAGUAAACGAUGAAUACUAAUUGUCCGGCCGGAAUGACGGCUGGGUGAUACAGCGAAAGCGUUAAGUAUUCCACCUGGGGAGUACGCCGGCAACGGUGAAACUCAAAGGAAUUGACGGGGGCCCGCACAAGCGGAGGAACAUGUGGUUUAAUUCGAUGAUACGCGAGGAACCUUACCCGGGCUCAAACGACACAGGAAUGUUUUUGAAAGGAGGCAGCCCUACGGGGCCUGUGUCGAGGUGC
rnacentral:rRNA from 1 species